rnacentral:rRNA from 1 species
CCUACGGGAGACAGCAGUGGGGAAUAUUGCACAAUGGGGGGAACCCUGAUGCAGCGAAGCCGCGUGAGUGAAGAAGUAUUUCGGUACGUAAAGCUCUAUCAGCAAGGAAGAAAAUGACGGUACUUGACUAAGAAGCCCCGGCUAACUACGUGCCAGCAGCCCCGGUAAUACGGAGGUGGCAAGCGUGGUCCGGAUGUACUGGGUGUAAUGGGCGUGUAGCCGGGAAUGCAAGUCAGAUGUGAAAUCCGGAGGCUCAACCUCCGAAUUGCAUUUGAAACGGGUUGUCUUGAGUACUGGAGAGGCAGACGGAAUGCGUUGUGUAGCGGUGAAAUGCGUAGAUAUAAGGAGGAACACCAGUGGCGAAGGCGGUCUGCUGGACAGCCACUGACGGUGAGGCGCGAAAGCGUGGGGAGCAAACAGGAGUAGAUACCCCAGUAGUC